GAAGGUGAGAGUGGCGAACGGGUGAGUAACACGUAGGUGACCUGCCCCGAAGACGGGAAUAACUGCCGGAAACGGUAGCUAAUGCCCGAUGUGCUCAAUGAUUCGGUUCAUUGAGUAAAGCUCCGGCGCUUCGGGAUGGGCCUGCGGCCUAUCAGCUAGUUGGUAGGGUAAUGGCCUACCAAGGCAAAGACGGGUAGGGGGCGUGAGAGCGUGACCCCCCACACUGGCACUGAGACACGGGCCAGACUCCUACGGGAGGCAGCAGUCGGGAAUAUUGCACAAUGGGCGAAAGCCUGAUGCAGCGACGCCGCGUGAGCGAUGAAGGUCUUCGGAUUGUAAAGCUCUUUUCUGGGGGAAGAGACAAGGACGGUACCCCAGGAAUAAGCGUCGGCUAACUACGUGCCAGCAGCCGCGGUAAAACGUAGGACGCAAGCGUUAUCCGGAUUUACUGGGCGUAAAGUGCGUUGAGGUGGCACUGUAAGUUGGACGUGAAAGCCCUGGGCUCAACCCAGGGAUGCCGUUCAAUACUGCAGAGCUUGAGGACAGCAGAGGGAGAUGGAAUUCCCGGUGGAGCGGUGAAAUGCGUAGAGAUCGGGAGGAACACCAGUGGCGAAGGCGAUCUCCUGGGCUGUUCCUGACACUGAAGGCAAAAGCUAGGGUAGCGAACGGGAUUAGAAACCCCGGUAGUCCUAGCCGUAAACGAUGGAUACUGGGUGUGGGGGGAAUACUCCCUCCGUGCCGAAGCUAACGCGUUAAGUAUCCCGCCUGGGGAGUACGGCCGCAAGGUUAAAACUCAAACGAAUUGACGGGGGCCCGCACAAGCAGCGGAGCGUGUGGUUUAAUUCGAUCUACACGAAGAACCUUACCUGGGUUUGACAUAUAGGUAGUAGUGAAGCGAAAGCGGAACGACCCUUCGGGGAGCCUAUACAGGUGCUGCAUGGCUGUCGUCAGCUCGUGCCGUGAGGUGUCGGGUUAAGUCCCGUAACGAGCGCAACCCUCGUCCUUAGUUACAAGUGUCUAAGGAGACUGCCCGGGAUAACUGGGAGGAAGGUGGGGAUGAUGUCAAGUCAGCAUGGCCUUUAUAUCCAGCCUACACACACGCUACAAUGGCCGGUACAAUGGGUCGCCAAGCCGUGAGGCGGAGCCAAUCCUCUAAAGCCGGUCCAAGUUCGGAUUGUGGGCUGCAACCCGCCCGCAUGAAGCUGGAGUUGCUAGUAACCGCAGGUCAGCUAUACUGCGGUGAAUACGUUCCCGGGCCUUGUACACACCGCCCGUCACGUCAUGGAAGCUGGUAACACCUGAAGCCGGUGAGCUAACCGCAAGGGGGCAGCCGUCGAAGGUGGGGCUGGUAACUGGGACGAAGUCGUAACAAGGUA
rnacentral:rRNA from 1 species